rnacentral:rRNA from 1 species
GACGAACGCUGGCGGCGUGCUUAACACAUGCAAGUCGAGCGAUGAAGUUCUUUCGGGAACGGAUUAGCGGCGGACGGGUGGGUAACACGUGGGUAACCUGCCUCAUAGAGGGGAAUAGCCUUUCGAAAGGAAGAUUAAUACCGCAUAAGAUUGUAGUAUCGCAUGAUACAGCAAUUAAAGGAGUAAUCCGCUAUGAGAUGGACCCGCGUCGCAUUAGCUAGUUGGUGAGGUAACGGCUCACCAAGGCGACGAUGCGUAGCCGACCUGAGAGGGUGAUCGGCCACAUUGGGACUGAGACACGGCCCAGACUCCUACGGGAGGCAGCAGUGGGGAAUACUGCACAAUGGGGGAAACCCUGAUGCAGCAACGCCGCGUGAGUGAUGACGGUCUUCGGAUUGUAAAGCUCUGUCUUCAGGGACGAUAAUGACGGUACCUGAGGAGGAAGCCACGGCUAACUACGUGCCAGCCGCCGCGGUAAUAC